ensembl:lncRNA
UUUCCCCUCAAAAAACCCAUUUUUUCCUCAAUUUCCGCCAUUUUUUCCCCAAUUUCCGCCAUUUUUUCCUCAAUUUCCGCCAUUUUUUCCUCAAUUUCCCCCAAAUUUUCCCCAAUUUCCCCCAAAUUUCCCCAAAUUUCCCCAUUUUUCCCCCGUUUCUCAGCCCCAGCCGGGCGGGCCGGGCGCCCACGGCCGCCGGUACCACCCGCGGUAGGUCAGGGCCCACCCGGCCCAUCCCAGCGCGGCGCCGGCGGCGUUCCGGGCGCGGCUGUGCCGGUACAGGAGCGUCACCACCAACAGGAAGUGCCACGUCAGCAGCAGCAGAACAGCCAAUAGGAACAGCAGCGACAGCGCCGCCGGCGGGGGCCCAAGAUGGCCGCCCGCAAGAUGGCCGCCGCCGCCGGUGGUGAAAAAACGGCGCCUUGAGGGGUCAAAAUGGCCGCCGGAGGGGUCAAAAUGGCCGCCGGAGGGGUCAAAAUGGCCGCCAGGAUAGUCAAAAUGGCGGCCUGGGGGGUUAAAAUGGCCGCCGGGAGCAUCAAAAUGGCGGCCGGGGUGAGGGAGGAAAAAAGCGGGAUCAAAAUGGCCGCCGGAUUCAAAAUGGCCGCCGGAUUCAAAAUGGCCGCCGUCAAAAUGGCCGCCGCGUUGAAGUUCAAAAUGGCGGCCGGAAGCAAAAUGGCCGCCGUGUCUUUCUUCAAAAUGGCGGCCGGAAGCAAAAUGGCGGCCGGAUUCAAAAUGGCGGCCAGAUUCAAAAUGGCCGCCCCUUUCCACUUCAAAAUGGCCGCCGCCGUGUCGCCCUUCAAAAUGGCCGCCCCAAAAUGGCCCCGCCCACCCCUCAUUUGCAUGAGAGGGCUCCGCCCACUCGAAGCCGAUUGGUCGCCAUGUUGGGCGCGGCCACGCCCACGGCGCCAUCUUGGAUUCUUCUUCUGUGUCGUGUUCGGCGGCCAUCUUGGAUCCGGCCGCCAUCUUGGAUCCGGCGGCCAUCUUGGAUUCAUCCCCUGUUUUAUAUCCGGCGGCCAUCUUGGGCCCGGCGGCCAUCUUGAACCAAGGCAGCAUCUUAAACCAGGCGGCCAUCUUGGACCAGGCGGCCAUCUUGGACCCGGCGGCCAUCUUGGGUGCGUCGGCCAUCUUGGAUCUUUCAACCAUCUCACUACCGGCGGCCAUUUUGUAUGGGUCGGCCAUUUUGUGCGUGGUGGCCAUUUUGUAUGGGUCAGCCAUCUUGUAUGGGUCAUCCAUCUUGCGCAUGGCAGCCAUCUUGUGCCCGGCGGCCAUCUUGCUGGCGGCGGCCAUCUUGCCCAGCCCGUAGAUCCUCCUCCCCAGCGCCGCCGCCUCCUCGGCGAGCCCCAACCCACAAUGCACCAGGUCAAAGGCCUGGGGGGCGGGGCCAAACCCCUCCCAGCGAUGCCCCGCCCCCCGGCAGGUUUCCGGCUCUCUGAUUGGCAGCAGCAGCGUCCCGCCGGGGGCGGGGCUUGUGCAGCUUCCGGUGGCGGCCUCCAGGGCGUGGCCGAGGGCGUGGCCGGCGCGGGACAGCGCCACGGCGACGGCCAAUCGGGCGAGGGCGCGCAGGGCGGAGCGCCAGGGGGGGCGGAGCCACGGGUAGGAGGCCACCAGCAGGGAGCCAAUCAGCAGCCAGGUCCAGGCGGGGGCGCUGGCGGUCAGGCGGCUGCGGGAUAUUGAUGAUUAUUGGUUAUUGAUUAUUGAUUAUGGAUUAUUGAUUAGCAAUUAUUGAUUAUUAUCAGUCUCAAUUAUCAUCUAUCAGUUACUAAUCGUCAAUUAUCAUUAUCAAUAAUCAAUAAUCAAGUCUCAGCUAUCGGUUAUUGAUUAUUGGUUAUUGAUUAUUGAUUGUUGGUUACUGAUUAUCAAUUAUUGAUUAUCGGUUAUCGAUUAUCAAUAUUAUCACUGUGAAUUAUCAAUUAUCAGUUAUCAAUUGUCAAUUAUCAAUUAUCAAUAAUCAAUAGCCAAGUCUCAGCUAUCGCCUGUUGAUUAUCGAUUAUUGAUUAUCAAGUAUUGAUUAUUGAUUAUCGGUUAUCGGUUAUUAUCGCUGUCAAUUAUCAGCGAUCAGUUAUUAAUUGUCGAUUAUCAUUAUCAAUAAUCAAUAACCAAGUCUCAACAACCGAUUGUUGAUUAUUGAUUAUUGAUUAUCAAUUAUAGAUUAUCUAUUAUUGUCACUCUCAAUUAUCAACUAUCAGUUAUUAAUCGUCAGUUAUCAUUAUCAAUAAUCAAUAAUCAGUUCUCAGCUAUUGAUUGUUGAUUAUCCAUUAAUGAUUAUUAACUAUCAACUGUGUAUUAUAAAUUACUGAUUCUUGAUUAUCGAUUAUCGAUUAUUAUCACCGUCAAUUAUCAACUAUCAGUUAUUAAUCGUCAAUUAUCAUUAUCAAUAAUCAAUAAUCAAGUCUCAGCUAUCAAUUGUUGAUUAUCGAUUCAUGAUUAUCAACUAUCAAAUAUCUAUUAUUGAUUAUCGGUUAUCAGUUAUCGAUUAUUGAUUUUCAACUAUCAAUUAUCUAAUACAUGCUAUUGAUAAUUGAUUAUCAGUUAUCGGGUAUCAAUUACUUAUUAUCAAUUAUCAUUUAUCAAUUAUCAAUUGCAGAGCAUCGAUUAUAAAAUACUGAUUAUCAAUUGCCAAAUCCGCCCCAUAGAUCCCAAAUCCUGCCCCAUAACCGACCCCAAACCCCAUUCCCAGCCCCAUAGAUCGACCCAUAGACCCCAAAUCCGCCCCAUAGAUCCCAAAUCUGCCCCAUAGAUUGACCCAUAGACCCCAAAUUUCUGCCCCACAGAUCCCAAAUCCGCCCCAUAGAUCCCAAAUCUGCCCCAUAGAUCCAAAAUCUGCCCCAUAGAUCCAAAAUCUGCCCCACAGAUCCCAAAUCUGCCCCAUAGAUCCCAAAUUCUGCCCCAUAGAUCCCAAAUCUGCCCCAUAGAUCCCAAAUCUGCCCCACAGAUCCCAAAUCCGCCCCAUAGAUCCCAAAUCUGCCCCAUAGAACCCAGAUCCGCCCCAUAGAUCGACCCAUAGACCCCAAAUCCUGCCCCAUAGAUCCCAAAUCCCACCCCAUAGAUCCCAAAUUUCUGCCCCCCAAACCCCAAAUUCCGCCCCAUAGAUCCCAAAUUUCUGCCCCAUAGAUCCCAAAUUUCUC